rnacentral:tRNA from 1 species
UCCACAAUAGCUCAGUUGGUAGAGCAAUCGGCUGUUAACCGAUCGGUCGCAGGUUCGAGUCCUGCCUGUGGAGCCA